rnacentral:rRNA from 1 species
CACGUAGGGUGCGAGCGUUGUCCGGAAUUAUUGGGCGUAAAGAGCUCGUAGGCGGUGUGUCGCGUCGGCCGUGAAAACCUGCAGCUUAACUGUGGGCUUGCGGUCGAUACGGGCAUCACUGGAGUUCGGCAGGGGGGACUGGAAUUCCUGGUGUAGCGGUGAAAUGCGCAGAUAUCAGGAGGAACACCGGUGGCGAAGGCGGGUUUCUGGGCCGAUACUGACGCUGAGGAGCGAAAGCGUGGGGAGCGAACAGG